rnacentral:lncRNA from 1 species
UAAAAACUCCAACAGAAAACUCUUUUUCCUUCACUUUUUAGUUUCAGAUUUAGCCUUUUGAAUUCAAAUAAAAAAAACCCAAAAAGUAGAAAUCUCCAGAAAAACUAAAAAAAAUUGAAGAAAUUACUGUUUCAUUGAAGUUUUCAGUUCAUUUUCAAGUGAUUUGGUAGUUCAUUGGGUUUUUUGGUUGGUUUCAAACAAGUUCAAGGUAUCCUUCAGUCAGUUUGGGUCAUUCUAUGUGUUUUCGAAUUGAUUUGGUGCUAUUUCUGGUGUGUUCCUGAUUUUUUUUGUGGAUUUAAACAUUUAUGGGUUAUAUUUCUGGAUUCCUGGGUUUUUUAUUGUUGCUGUUGAUUCACUCAAAGUAUUGCUACCUGAAUUUCCAUUGUCCUGUUGCUAUAUAGCUGCUGUUGAUCCUUUUCCUCUUGUUAAAUCCCUUUUCCAGGUACAAUCCUUAGAGUCAUAUUCUGCUUAUUGUAUCCAAAUUGAAAUGAAAUGAUAAUUGCAGUUUUCGGUGAUGGCUUUAUCAUGUGGAUCGCAUUAGAUUGUGAAAUUUUUAUUUGAUUUUCAUCCUGUUGAUUCGCAUGGAGAAAACAAAUGUAUUAAACUCUAUGGGACUGCUUAAAUUCACAUCUGCUAGCAUAAUGUUGAGCUGGUUGUAAUAUAUGUUUCAGGGGUCAAAACACGUGAAAUAUAUCUAUAUUUCAUGCUGCAUAUUAGUAAUCUCGAGUUAAUUGGGCUGUUUUAGAACUUCCUGUUAACAGGUGGAUCAUUAGUCAAUUGGUGUAGCAAUUGCAAAAUAGUUCGUGACUUGCAUGUUUACUAUGUAAACCAAUUUGCUUAACUACUAGUUAAUUAAAAUGGUAUUGAUAUCAUUGUUAGGUGUUAGAUAAGGAACGCUAAUAUAUUCAUGCUUUAGGUAAUUGUAAAAGUAAGCAAUUUGUUUGUUCUUUUUUUUUUCAUAAAUUAUUUGGAAUUGGUAUCUAGAAAUAACUUGGACUAUUAACGUGAAAAUAUGGUGCAAUGUAAUACACUGAUUGGAAAACGAUGCUGUCUGAUCCCUUUGUUCCCAUUGGGUUUCGAUUGUUGAAACCCUUCUGGUGGUUGUAUCCAAAAGAACCCAUUGUGGGUCUAAAAUGGAGGCAAGUGGAUCUUCUUUGGGCUUGGGCUCCAGAAGCCAAGGCUGUCAAGCCCAGUCACACAAGAGGAUCAUUUCAGUGGAAAACAAUUCCUGGCCUGCUUAAUUUAUGGGAAUUGAUCCCAUGACCAAGGCCUUGAGGUUCGACGUUAGGAUUGAGCCAUGGAUUGGUCUCAUUAAUUGGGCCUAUUUCUAAAGAUUUCGAUUCAAUGUUUAUUUGAUAUUUGAAAUUUGGAUUUUAAGUUAGUUAGCGGGUUCAAGCUAAAAGGUCCGUCCUUUUGUUUGGACCCAGACUUGAACUUAAUGCCCGGAUUUAAUAAUAAUCAAUUAGGAAUUUUCUUUUCUUUUAGAGACAAAAAAAUAAAAAUAGAAAAUAUAGUCAUUUUUAGGUUUACCUUAAAGAUAAAAUGAGACGAGCCUCGUCCAAGAAACAACAAAAAAUACGGGGUCCUCAAUAAAGGUUUCAAAUAUUUAGAAAAUCGGGAAUGGUCGUUUAGUGAAUUUCACGACCUUCCCAAAAGAUAAUAACGCGCUAGACUCUUAAACUCGGGUGUGCAUUUCAUGCGACCCAAAUCAAAUCCGAAAACAUUGAAUAGGGUAUGCCGAGGAUUGCGGGUGCAUUUCAUUUGACGCGAUCCGAAGGGACACUUUAAACGAUGUUCACCUUUCUCUUUAAUAAAGACAUGAUGAAUAAAAGUGGUAAAAAGUAAAAAUUGGCAGAUAAGUUCUUCAUGUGAUAAAAUCCAAUAAUAAGCUAAAUGCGACAGUUGAGCAAUCGUGCUAAAACCACGGAACCCGGGAAUGCCUAACACCUUCUCCCAGAUUAACAGAAUUUCUUAUCCAGAUUUCUGGUUCGCGGACUGAUAACAGAGUCAUUGUUUCGUCGGUACGGGAUUCAGUCGGUGACUUGGGAAACCAUUAAUUUCCCAAGUGGUGACUCUGAAAUCUUAAUAAAUAAAUCCAGUUCCGAUUGUCCUUUAAUUGGAAAAACUCCUUUACGCCCUUCCGAGUGUAGUGAAAAAGGAGGUGUGACAAUGGGUUAGUCCUGUUCAAUGUGUCCCCAAGAAAAGGGGAUGACUGUGGUAGUAAAUGAAAAUAAUGAUUUAAUCCAAACAAGAACUGUCACCGAGUGGAGAAUUUGCAUUGACUAUAGAAAAUUGAACAAUGCCACCAGGAAGGACCACUUUCCCCUCCCCUUUAUUGACCAAAUGCUCGAUAAAUUUGCUGGCCAGGAGUACUACUGCUUCCUGGAUGGUUAAUCUUGGUAAAAUCAUGCUAUAGCCCCCGGAACAAGAAAACACCACUUUUAUGUGUCCUUAUGGAACAUAUGCGUUCAAGGGAAUUCCCUUUGGCCUUUGUAAUGCACCUGCGACUUUUCAAAGGUGUAUGAUGGCCAUUUUCACUGACAUGGUUGAAAGGUUUGUAGAAGUAUUCAUGGAUGACGUUUCUAUUUUUGGAUGCUCUUUUGAUAAAUGCUUAUUGAACCUCGAUAAAGUACUUGCUUGGUGUGAAGAGACUAACUUGGUACUAAACUGGGAAAAGUGCCAUUUCAUGGUAUGUGAAGGUAUAAUUUGGGAUACAAGGUGUUCAAAGAUUGUUUGCAGGUGGACAAGGCAAAGGUGGAAGCAAUUGAAAAGUUGCCCUACCGGUAUCUAUCAAAGACAUCCGCAACUUCUUGGGCCAAGCAAGUUUUUAUCAUCGUUUUAUUAAAGAUUUCUCAAAAAUUUCCUCUCCCUGUGUAGAUUUCUUGAGAAGGAUGUCGCCUUUGAAUUUGAUGAUGCAUGUCUGAAGGCAUUUGAGGAGCUGAAGGGAAGGCAGGUGACUUCACCGAUCAUAAUUGCUCCGGAUUGGGAGCAACCAUUUGAAUUGAUGUGCGACGUGAGUGACUCGGCAAUUAGAGAUGUCUUGGGGCAAAUGAGAAACAAGAUCUUUCACUCCAUCUACUAUGCGAGCAAAACCCUGAAUCCAGCUUAGAUGAACUACACCGUCACUGAAGAAGAGUUGCUUGCAGUGGUAUGGGCGUUUGACAAGUUCCGGUCAUAUCUUGGGGGAUCAAAGUCAUCGUAUACACAGAUCAUUUAGCCAUCAGGUACUUGUUUGUGAAAAAGGAAGCCAAGCCGAGACUGAUUCGGUGGGUUUUACUGUUGCAAGAGUUUGAUUUAGAGAUCUGAGAUCGUAAAGGAAUAGAGAAUCAAGUGGCUGAUCACUUAUCCAGAUUAGAAAAUCGGAACCAUGUGGCUGAAGGGGGUGCAAUCAAAAAAACAUUCCCUGAUGAGCAGUUAUUGUCUAUCACCUCAGGCACAACUCCGUGGUAUGCAGAUUACGUGAACUCUAUUGCAAGCGGGGUGACACCACCAGAAUUGACACCAGACAAUAGAAGAAGGUUCUUGCAUGACGUGCGGUUCUACAUGUGGGAUGAGCCUUUCCUAUAUAGGCUCUGUGCAGAUCAAUUAGUGUAGAGGUGUGUUUCUGAGGAGGAAAUGAGUUCCAUACUCCUAGCUGUCACGCCUCGCCGUACGGGGGUAAUCACGGUGGAGAUAGGACUGCUCAGAAAGUGCUACAAUCAGGUUUCUACUGGCCAAAAUUGUUUAAGGAUUCACACGCCUUUGUUGAAAUGUGUGACAGGUGCCAAAGAACCGGAACGAUGACGAAGAAGCACGAGAUGCCGCUGCAAAAUAUUCUGGUAGUGGAACGUUUCGAUGUUUAGGGAAUCGACUUCAUGGGACUGUUUCCCCACUCUAAUGGUCAUAGGUACAUCUUGGUGGCAGUCGACUAUGUGUCUAAGUGGGUGGAUGCCAUUGCUCUUCCCACUAAUGAUGCAAAGGUGGUGGUAAGCUUUGUUAAGAAGCACAUCUUCACCCGUUUUGGAACUCCCAGAGUGUUGAUCAGUGAUGGAGGUAUGAAUUUCUUUAAUAAACUGUUGAACAAUGUCCUUGUCAGCAUAAGGUCUCCACUGCCUAUCUCCCACAAAUGAGUGGUCAAGUGGAGGUUUCAAACAGAGAGGUCAAGCAAAUUCUUUGAGAAAAUAGUGAGUGCAAAUAGAAAAGAUUGGGCCGGGAAGUUGGACGACGCAUUAUGGUCAUAUCGAACUGCAUACAAGACUCCUAUAGGUGCUUCUCCACAUAGACAAUGUAUGGGAAGGCAUGUCUCUUACCCGUCGAACUUGAGCACAAGGCCUAUUGGGCGAUAAAGAAGUUGAAUAUGGAUGGGCACUUAGCUGGAGAGAAGAGGCUGCUGCAACUAGAUGAGCUCGAGGAGUUUCGAUUACAUGCAUAUGAAAAUUCCAAAUUGUAUAAAGAUAACACUAAGAAGUGGCAUGAUAAACAUAUUCAAAUUCGAGAGUUCGAGCCAGGGCAGGAGGUUCUUUUGUUCAAUUCGAGGUUGAAGCUAUUUCUCGGAAAGCUUAAAUCUCGUUGGUCGGGCCCUUUUGUUGUGGUAAGCGUGAAGCCUUAUGGAGCUGUGGAACUGUAGGAUAUGAGUUCAAAUGGUACCUUCUUAGUUAAUGGUCAAAGGAUAAAAUAUUACUGGGGUGGUGACUUUGCACGUCACAAGACCUCGGUGGACUUGAAGGAUGCCUGAGAAUAUGUUGAGUCGUGCCGCGACGUUAAAUUAGGUGCUGGAUGGGAGGCAACCCAUUGGAUUGUUGUAAUUGUCGUGCCAUAAUGUUAAAUAAGGCAGUGGUUGGGAGGCAACCCAACGAUAGUCGUAGUGUUAAUUUUGUGUUUUAGGACAAGCUAAGCAAUGCAGGUGACAAAGGGCGGAUGCUAAUGCCAUUGAGUGAUGUAAGAACAUGUGAAAAGUUAAGAAAACAAAAUAGACCAGGUACGUGCCGGCGCCUGGACGCACACUUGAGCAUGCUAAAAUGAAAGCUUUCAGCAUUGGCCUCGCUAAAAAAUGUGCGAGCAUGCAUCAGGACGCACACUAGCGCGACCGCGCACCUGACCGCACAUCUGGGCGCGCUAGUUGCUCAAACUUUCUGUGCUGGCCGCGCUAAAAACUCGCGCCCGCGCACCUGGGCGCGCAUGUGCCUUAAAUUUUCUUGCAUUUUUUUAGUCCUUCGUUUUUUCUUUUCUUUUGUUUUAAUUUACUUAACUAUAGGACUAAAUUACCCCCCUUCUAAUACCUGGGCCCUCCAUCUGAAAUUCCCAAAGUUACAAAACAAUGAACCCCCCCUCGAACUCCUUCUUCCCACAAAAACCUUCUUCUUCACCAUUCUCCAUAGCCCCCUGCUACCAUGAAUCAAACGUACCCCAUUUCAACAACUCAACCACCCAUCUUCUUCCCCAUUCUCCCUCUCCACAGGUAUGCACCCUAGUUUCCUUGUUUCUCUUGUUCAUAUCCUUUUUUAUUUUUGAUUUUUUCCCCAGAUUUUAUGUAUGCAAAUUACUUAGUUGUAGUAGUUAAAAUUAGCUUUUAUGUAGAGAUUGUGGUGCCAUAAGAUGUGAUGUUAGUAGAUGAUAAGUGUGGGGUGAAACCCCAUUGAUUUGUGAUGUUGAGGGAAAAUAUGUGGGUGUGUCUUAUUCUAAUAUGUUUAAAAGGAGUAGUGAAGGCCUAAUGCCCACAAGGUGUUUGUGGAAAAGCCCCAUUGAACGUGAGUAUGUAGUUUGUGACUCAGGAUGCGUGUGAAGUCUGAGUUACCGCAUUGCAUCACAAACUUUUCAUUGGGCUAUGCUAAUGUUUAAUUUUUUACAGGUAUCAUGACUCCCUCCAGGAAAUGACGUGCCACAGGUGCUUCAUCGAGCAAUCAAGCUG